rnacentral:rRNA from 1 species
GGUUAAGCGACUAAGCGUACACGGUGGAUGCCCUGGCAGUCAGAGGCGAUGAAGGACGUGCUAAUCUGCGAUAAGCGUCGGUAAGGUGAUAUGAACCGUUAUAACCGGCGAUUUCCGAAUGGGGAAACCCAGUGUGUUUCGACACACUAUCAUUAACUGAAUCCAUAGGUUAAUGAGGCGAACCGGGGGAACUGAAACAUCUAAGUACCCCGAGGAAAAGAAAUCAACCGAGAUUCCCCCAGUAGCGGCGAGCGAACGGGGAGCAGCCCAGAGCCUGAAUCAGUGUGUGUGUUAGUGGAAGCGUCUGGAAAGGCGCGCGAUACAGGGUGACAGCCCCGUACACAAAAAUGCACAUACUGUGAGCUCGAUGAGUAGGGCGGGACACGUGGUAUCCUGUCUGAAUAUGGGGGGACCAUCCUCCAAGGCUAAAUACUCCUGACUGACCGAUAGUGAACCAGUACCGUGAGGGAAAGGCGAAAAGAACCCCGGCGAGGGGAGUGAAAAAGAACCUGAAACCGUGUACGUACAAGCAGUGGGAGCACGCUUAGGCGUGUGACUGCGUACCUUUUGUAUAAUGGGUCAGCGACUUAUAUUCUGUAGCAAGGUUAACCGAAUAGGGGAGCCGAAGGGAAACCGAGUCUUAACUGGGCGUUAAGUUGCAGGGUAUAGACCCGAAACCCGGUGAUCUAGCCAUGGGCAGGUUGAAGGUUGGGUAACACUAACUGGAGGACCGAACCGACUAAUGUUGAAAAAUUAGCGGAUGACUUGUGGCUGGGGGUGAAAGGCCAAUCAAACCGGGAGAUAGCUGGUUCUCCCCGAAAGCUAUUUAGGUAGCGCCUCGUGAAUUCAUCUCCGGGGGUAGAGCACUGUUUCGGCAAGGGGGUCAUCCCGACUUACCAACCCGAUGCAAACUGCGAAUACCGGAGAAUGUUAUCACGGGAGACACACGGCGGGUGCUAACGUCCGUCGUGAAGAGGGAAACAACCCAGACCGCCAGCUAAGGUCCCAAAGUCAUGGUUAAGUGGGAAACGAUGUGGGAAGGCCCAGACAGCCAGGAUGUUGGCUUAGAAGCAGCCAUCAUUUAAAGAAAGCGUAAUAGCUCACUGGUCGAGUCGGCCUGCGCGGAAGAUGUAACGGGGCUAAACCAUGCACCGAAGCUGCGGCAGCGACGCUGAUGCGUUGUUGGGUAGGGGAGCGUUCUGUAAGCCUGCGAAGGUGUGCUGUGAGGCAUGCUGGAGGUAUCAGAAGUGCGAAUGCUGACAUAAGUAACGAUAAAGCGGGUGAAAAGCCCGCUCGCCGGAAGACCAAGGGUUCCUGUCCAACGUUAAUCGGGGCAGGGUGAGUCGACCCCUAAGGCGAGGCCGAAAGGCGUAGUCGAUGGGAAACAGGUUAAUAUUCCUGUACUUGGUGUUACUGCGAAGGGGGGACGGAGAAGGCUAUGUUGGCCGGGCGACGGUUGUCCCGGUUUAAGCGUGUAGGCUGGUUUUCCAGGCAAAUCCGGAAAAUCAAGGCUGAGGCGUGAUGACGAGGCACUACGGUGCUGAAGCAACAAAUGCCCUGCUUCCAGGAAAAGCCUCUAAGCAUCAGGUAACAUCAAAUCGUACCCCAAACCGACACAGGUGGUCAGGUAGAGAAUACCAAGGCGCUUGAGAGAACUCGGGUGAAGGAACUAGGCAAAAUGGUGCCGUAACUUCGGGAGAAGGCACGCUGAUAUGUAGGUGAAGCGACUUGCUCGUGGAGCUGAAAUCAGUCGAAGAUACCAGCUGGCUGCAACUGUUUAUUAAAAACACAGCACUGUGCAAACACGAAAGUGGACGUAUACGGUGUGACGCCUGCCCGGUGCCGGAAGGUUAAUUGAUGGGGUCAGCGCAAGCGAAGCUCUUGAUCGAAGCCCCGGUAAACGGCGGCCGUAACUAUAACGGUCCUAAGGUAGCGAAAUUCCUUGUCGGGUAAGUUCCGACCUGCACGAAUGGCGUAAUGAUGGCCAGGCUGUCUCCACCCGAGACUCAGUGAAAUUGAACUCGCUGUGAAGAUGCAGUGUACCCGCGGCAAGACGGAAAGACCCCGUGAACCUUUACUAUAGCUUGACACUGAACAUUGAGCCUUGAUGUGUAGGAUAGGUGGGAGGCUUUGAAGUGUGGACGCCAGUCUGCAUGGAGCCGACCUUGAAAUACCACCCUUUAAUGUUUGAUGUUCUAACGUUGACCCGUGAUCCGGGUUGCGGACAGUGUCUGGUGGGUAGUUUGACUGGGGCGGUCUCCUCCUAAAGAGUAACGGAGGAGCACGAAGGUUGGCUAAUCCUGGUCGGACAUCAGGAGGUUAGUGCAAUGGCAUAAGCCAGCUUGACUGCGAGCGUGACGGCGCGAGCAGGUGCGAAAGCAGGUCAUAGUGAUCCGGUGGUUCUGAAUGGAAGGGCCAUCGCUCAACGGAUAAAAGGUACUCCGGGGAUAACAGGCUGAUACCGCCCAAGAGUUCAUAUCGACGGCGGUGUUUGGCACCUCGAUGUCGGCUCAUCACAUCCUGGGGCUGAAGUAGGUCCCAAGGGUAUGGCUGUUCGCCAUUUAAAGUGGUACGCGAGCUGGGUUUAGAACGUCGUGAGACAGUUCGGUCCCUAUCUGCCGUGGGCGCUGGAGAACUGAGGGGGGCUGCUCCUAGUACGAGAGGACCGGAGUGGACGCAUCACUGGUGUUCGGGUUGUCAUGCCAAUGGCACUGCCCGGUAGCUAAAUGCGGAAGAGAUAAGUGCUGAAAGCAUCUAAGCACGAAACUUGCCCCGAGAUGAGUUCUCCCUGACUCCUUGAGAGUCCUGAAGGAACGUUGAAGACGACGACGUUGAUAGGCCGGGUGUGUAAGCGCAGCGAUGCGUUGAGCUAACCGGUACUAAUGAACCGUGAGGCUUAACCUU